rnacentral:SRP_RNA from 1 species
GCUGAGCUCAGUUGCGUGAGCUUGUAACCCGAGCGGGGCAUUAAGGUGAUGUGGAUGUUGUUGAGUAGUGGACCGUUUGGGGCCUAUGCGAAAGUUGGGCCUCACGGUCCAUAAUGUGGUAGGCAUAGCGUGAGGCUGGCUUCACAGAGUCCUAGGCCACUUGGGCCAUCACUUUUUCUUUUGCCUCGCACAUAUUA